rnacentral:rRNA from 1 species
GAUGAACGCUAGCGACAGGUUUAACACAUGCAAGUCGAGGGGCAGCAUUGUAAUUAGCUUGCUAAUUACAGAUGGCGACCGGCGCACGGGUGAGUAACGCGUAUGGAACCUGCCCUUUACAGGGGGAUAGCCCAUGGAAACGUGGAUUAAAAUCCCAUAAUACUUUGUUCAGGCAUCUGGAUGGAGUUAAAUCUACGGAGGUAAAGGAUGGCCAUGCGUCCUAUUAGCUGGUUGGCGGGGUAACGGCCCACCAAGGCGAUGAUAGGUAGGGGUUCUGAGAGGAAGGUCCCCCACAUUGGAACUGAGACACGGUCCAAACUCCUACGGGAGGCAGCAGUGAGGAAUAUUGGUCAAUGGGCGCUAGCCUGAACCAGCCAAGUAGCGUGAAGGAUGAAGGCUCUAUGGGUCGUAAACUUCUUUUAUAUAAGAAUAAAGUGCAGUAUGUAUACUGUUUUGUAUGUAUUAUAUGAAUAAGGAUCGGCUAACUCCGUGCCAGCAGCCGCGGUAAUACGGAGGAUCCGAGCGUUAUCCGGAUUUAUUGGGUUUAAAGGGAGCGUAGGUGGACUGGUAAGUCAGUUGUGAAAGUUUGCGGCUCAACCGUAAAAUUGCAGUUGAUACUGUCAGUCUUGAGUACAGUAGAGGUGGGCGGAAUAAGUUAAGUAGCGGUGAAAUGCUUAGAUAUAACUUAGAACUCCGAUAGCGAAGGCAGCUUACCAGACUGUGACUGACGCUGAAGCACGAGAGCGUGGGUAGCGAACAGG